GAUGAACGCUGGCGGCGUGCCUAAUACAUGCAAGUCGAGCGAACGGACGAGAAGCUUGCUUCUCUGAUGUUAGCGGCGGACGGGUGAGUAACACGUGGAUAACCUACCUAUAAGACUGGGAUAACUUCGGGAAACCGGAGCUAAUACCGGAUAAUAUUUUGAACCGCAUGGUUCAAAAGUGAAAGACGGUCUUGCUGUCACUUAUAGAUGGAUCCGCGCUGCAUUAGCUAGUUGGUAAGGUAACGGCUUACCAAGGCAACAAUGCAUAGCCGACCUGAGAGGUUGAUCGGCCACACUGGAACUGAGACACGGUCCAGACUCCUACGGGAGGCAGCAGUAGGGAAUCUUCCGCAAUGGGCGAAAGCCUGACGGAGCAACGCCGCGUGAGUGAUGAAGGUCUUCGGAUCGUAAAACUCUGUUAUUAGGGAAGAACAUAUGUGUAAGUAACUGUGCACAUCUUGACGGUACCUAAUCAGAAAGCCACGGCUAACUACGUG
rnacentral:rRNA from 1 species